UUUUUAGGGGGUCAAACUGUACGCGAUAUGUGCCAAUAUAUAAAAUUCAUAAGCGUAUAGCUUUUCCCCUUAAAAG
rnacentral:pre_miRNA from 1 species